rnacentral:rRNA from 1 species
UAGAGUUUGAUCCUGGCUCAGGAUGAACGCUGGCGGCGUGCCUGACACAUGCAAGUCGAGCGGAGAAGUGGAAGUACUUGUACGGAAACUUCUUAGCGGCGGACGGGUGAGUAACACGUGAGUAAUCUGCCUUGAACUGGGGAAUAACACAGUGAAAAUUGUGCUAAUACCGCAUAAUGUCACGACCUGGCAUCAGGUUGUGACCAAAGGAGUAAUCCGGUUUGAGAUGAACUCGCGUCCGAUUAGGUAGUUGGUGAGGUAACGGCCCACCAAGCCGACGAUCGGUAGCCGAAYUGAGAGGUUGAUCGGCCACAUUGGGACUGAGACACGGCCCAGACUCCUACGGGAGGCAGCAGUGGGGAAUAUUGGGCAAUGGGCGAAAGCCUGACCCAGCAACGCCGCGUGAAGGACGAAGGCCUUCGGGUUGUAAACUUCUUUGAUCAGGGACGAAUAAAUGACGGUACCUGAAGAACAAGCCACGGCUAACUACGUGCCAGCAGCCGCGGUAAUAC